UGUGGCCGGUGAGUGUAUGUGUAUAGCUUCUGCAACUCUCACAUUGUCGCCCACUGAAGCUAAGCGGGGCUGCGCCUGGUCGGUACCUGGAUUGGGGACCCCAUGGGAAAGCUAGGUUGCUGCCAGAA
rnacentral:rRNA from 1 species